AGUUGCGCUUAUACCAGCACUAAUGCACCGGAUCUCAUGAGAACUCCGUAGUUCAACAUGCUUGGGAGAUACUAGUACUAGGAUGGGUGACCUACUAGGAAGUCCUCGUGUUGCACCUC
rnacentral:rRNA from 2 species